UGUUCCUGCAUCAUGAGAACAUGCCCACCCACACAUCCCUGAAAACCACAGAGUUUGUAACUAACAACAACAAGAUUAUUGUUCUCCAUCCUACAUACUUUCUGGACUUAGCCCUCUGUGAUUUCCCUUUGUUUCCCAAAUUGAAAAUGAAACUGAAGGGGACAACAUUUUGAAAGAGUGUCUGACAUCCAAAGGGAAUUGCAAGUGGUACUCAACAGCAUUAAGGAAUGGUGCUUUUGAAGUGUGGGAUUGCUGUGUAUGUUCCCAAAGAGACUAUUUUGAAGGAGAUGGUAGCCAAAUUUGAUGUUCAACAUCCAGGACAGAUGUAUGAAAAUCUGUGACCUACUAGAGAAUAACAACAGCACAACAUGAAAAGCAAAUAAAAUAUUACGUCUGGUUUCGCGCCAGAAUAUUAAAGUAUACCAGGAAGGUGAAAUGAACAUUGCACAUUGACAGACCUGGGUGCUAAACAAAGCAAAUGUGCAGCUUUAGGUUCUGCUUUCCUUCACACUUGGGGACAAGUUUCCAACCAUUUGAGUGAGUGAGUUACAUUGAUGUGACACAAAAAUAAUAAAAAAACAAUAACAUAAUUAUACCAAUGAUAGUAAAUUUGAACUCAUUUCCUAUGCAUUUACAGACAUAUUCAAGGAAACUCAUGCUUAUAAUUCACAUAUAUUUAUACUAAUUGUAUGUGUAUUUCUAAUGGAAAUUAAUUAUGAUUCAGUCAGUAAGGCUGGAAUGGAUCAUACAUAUAUAUGAAGUGGCCCUAACUGCUGGCCUUUGCACUGUGACCUCAGCGAGAUAUAUUGAAAUGGGUCAAUAAGUGAGACAACUCCCUGACUGCAUGUUAUAAAGACAUGCAAGCUUAGAAGUAAUUAGAAGGCACAGAUGGGUAAAACCAAUUAGAGUAGCAGGAAAUUUC